GACGAACCGUGCGAACGUUGUUCGGAAUCACUGGGCUUAAAGGGCGCGUAGGCGGGCUCGCAAGUCAGGGGUGAAAGCCCACGGCUCAACCGUGGAAGUGCCUUUGAUACUGCGGGUCUGGAGGGAGGUAGGGGCGUGCGGAACUUCCGGUGGAGCGGUGAAAUGCGUAGAUAUCGGAAGGAACACCGGUGGCGAAAGCGGCGCGCUGGACCUCUACUGACGCUGAGGCGCGAAAGCCAGGGGAGCAAACGGG
rnacentral:rRNA from 1 species